UGAGAUAGCCGCGAUCUAAACUUUCUGUUC
rnacentral:piRNA from 1 species